GACGAACGCUGGCGGCGUGCUUAACACAUGCGAGUCGAACGGAAAGGCCCUGCUUUUGUGGGGUGCUCGAGUGGCGAACGGGUGAGUAACACGUGAGUAACCUGCCCUUGACUUUCGGAUAACUUCAGGAAACUGGGGCUAAUACCGGAUAGGAGCUCCUGCUCCAUGGUGGGGGUUGGAGAGUUUCGGCGGUUGGGGAUGGAUUCGCGGCUUAUCAGCUUGUUGGUGGGGUAGUGGCUUACCAAGGCUUUGACGGGUAGCCGGCCUGAGAGGGUGACCGGCCACAGUGGGACUGCGAUAGGGAGCAGACUCGUACGGGAGGCAGCAGUGGGGAGUAUUGCAGAGUGGGCGGAAGCGUGAUGCAGAAGCGCCGCGUGCGGGAUGACGGCUUUCGGGUUGUAAACCGCUUUCGCCUGUGACGAGGCGUGAGUGACGGUAAUGGGUAAAGAAGCACCGGCUAACUACGUG
rnacentral:rRNA from 1 species